rnacentral:rRNA from 1 species
CACGUAGUUGGCCGGUGCUUCUUCUGUACCUACCGUCACUCGCGCUUCGUCGGUACUGAAAGAGGUUUACAACCCGAAGGCCGUCAUCCCUCACGCGGCGUCGCUGCAUCAGGCUUGCGCCCAUUGUGCAAUAUUCCCCA